GUCGGGAUAGCUCARUUGGUAGAGCAAAGGACU
rnacentral:tRNA from 1 species